AUUGAACGCUGGCGGCAGGCCUAACACAUGCAAGUCGAGCGGAUGAAGGGAGCUUGCUCCUGGAUUCAGCGGCGGACGGGUGAGUAAUGCCUAGGAAUCUGCCUGGUAGUGGGGGAUAACGUCCGGAAACGGGCGCUAAUACCGCAUACGUCCUGAGGGAGAAAGUGGGGGAUCUUCGGACCUCACGCUAUCAGAUGAGCCUAGGUCGGAUUAGCUAGUUGGUGGGGUAAAGGCCUACCAAGGCGACGAUCCGUAACUGGUCUGAGAGGAUGAUCAGUCACACUGGAACUGAGACACGGUCCAGACCCCUACGGGAGGCAGCAGUGGGGAAUAUUGGACCAUGGGCGAAAGCCUGAUCCAGCCAUGCCGCGUGUGUGAAGAAGGUCUUCGGAUUGUAAAGCACUUUAAGUUGGGAGGAAGGGCAGUAAGUUAAUACCUUGCUGUUUUGACGUUACCAACAGAAUAAGCACCGGCUAACUUAGUG
rnacentral:rRNA from 1 species